UACGAAGGGGGCUAGCGUUGCUCGGAAUCAUUGGGCGUAAAGGGUGCGUAGGCGGCGCGGUAAGUCGGGUGUGAAAUCUCGGAGCUUAACUCCGAAACUGCAUUCGAUACUGCCGUGCUUGAGGACUGGAGAGGAGACUGGAAUUUACGGUGUAGCGGUGAAAUGCGUAGAUAUCGUAAGGAAGACCAGUGGCGAAGGCGGGUCUCUGGACAGUUCCUGACGCUGAGGCACGAAGGCCAGGGGAGCAAACGGG
rnacentral:rRNA from 1 species